rnacentral:rRNA from 1 species
GACGAACCGUGCGAACGUUGUUCGGAAUCACUGGGCUUAAAGGGCGCGUAGGCGGCCCUCCUUGUCGCGUGUGAAAGCCCCGGGCUCAACCUGGGAAUUGCGCUUGUGACUGCAUAGCUAGAGUACGGUAGAGGGGAUGGAAUUCCGCGUGUAGCAGUGAAAUGCGUAGAUAUGCGGAGGAACACCGAUGGCGAAGGCAAUCCCCUGGACCUGUACUGACGCUCAUGCACGAAAGGCGUGGGGAGCAAACAGG